CGGCCGCGAUUGGUCGGCGACACAGGGAGGAGGCUGGUGGGUGGGAGGGCUGCGAGGCGCGCGCCGCAAUGGCAGCCCGCUGCCGCUAGAUGCCGCUCCCUCCCAACAGGACCUGGCCGCGGAUUCGCGGCCGACAGAUGGCGCCUGCGCGUUCCAUUCGCCUCCAAGUCGCUGAAGAGCGAACACCCCAAACAAUCCCGAAGCGCCACCAAAAAAAAAAAAAAAAAAAAAAGAAAAGAAAAAAGAGAAAAGAAAAAAGAAAAAAAGAAAAGAAAAAAAUAGAAAAAAAGAAAAGAGAAAAAAACAGGAAAAAAAAAGCACCCUGCCGGAUCCGACCGCCACUUUCAACCCCCCCCCCCCCACGGCUCUAGACCCGCGGGAGCUUCCGUCCCUCAGUAGAAUUCAAGGGUGUAAAGAAGAGGAAGGGGGAAAAAAUCUUGUACCAGCCCAGGGGCGAAGAAGCCCCCGGCCUGAGAAAGAAGGAGUGGGGGAGGCCAACAGUCUCCUCGCUGCCUCUGUAGACGCUGAGGGGGGAGGAACUGUCUUUCUUAGAGGAAGCACACUGUCUUUUAUUCACAUAAAUAUAUGAAUAUAUUUCUGACAUUGGGGUGAUCCAGAAGAUGAUAAAGAAAUGAUAGCAGCUCCAGAAAUACCAACUGAUUUUAAUCUACUGCAGGAGUCAGAAACACAUUUUUCUUCUGACACAGAUUUUGAAGACAUUGAAGG
rnacentral:lncRNA from 1 species